rnacentral:rRNA from 1 species
UCGAGGAUCUUCGGCAAUGGGCGCAAGCCUGACCGAGCGACGCCGCGUGUGCGAUGAAGGCCUUCGGGUUGUAAAGCACUGUCGAGGGGGAGGAAGCCCCGCAAGGGGUUGACCUAUCCCUGGAGGAAGCACGGGCUAAGUUCGUGCCAGCAGCCGCGGUAAGACGAACCGUGCGAACGUUGUUCGGAAUCACUGGGCUUAAAGGGCGCGUAGGCGGGCUGCCAAGUCCGGGGUGAAAUCUUUCGGCUCAACCGGAAAAUAGCCUUGGAUACUGGCGGCCUCGAGGGAGGUAGGGGCAUGUGGAACUUCCGGUGGAGCGGUGAAAUGCGUAGAUAUCGGAAGGAACGCCGGUGGCGAAAGCGACGUGCUGGACCUCUUCUGACGCUGAGGCGCGAAAGCCAGGGGAGCAAACGGGAUUAGAUACCCGCGUAGUCC